CUGAAAUGUCUGACUUUCCUUUUUUUGCUUCUCACAGCCACCUUGGCAGGGGGCAGGAGCAAACGUGGUUUCUUCCUCCUAGUCAGCACUGUGCCACUUCACCUCAAAACGUGUCUGAUCUGUUUGAGUUCAAGGAGUCUUCCUGCCCUCUCCUCUUUGCAGGAGCGAGGCGUUCCCUCUCUUCUGUGCCGCACCCAAGGGGCUGAUAGAUGGGCAGACUUUCUCGUCACAGCUCCGGGAAAGGACAGAGGCAAUGAAAAUCUAAGCAAGAGUGAUCUGGGGCUGGCUCCAUGGUCUAAGAAGAAGAUGGCAAGUGCAGGCAGCCCCUCUAACUGCAGCUGGGUGGGCCCUGUUGGAACUCCCUGGCCCCUCGGAGGCUUGCAGCAAGGUUGGGUGAGUCCUCAUGCCCUCUGAGCCCUCUCAUUCCCCCCAGUGCCUUCUCCAUCCCUACCUCCAAAGACAAUUCUGUCCAGGAAGCAUCUUUUUAGAAAAAUUAACAUCCAAAUUGAUGGCCCAACUGUUGUUAAAAAUGUUGCGCGGUUUCUGGGUAGUGAGGGGUCCCAGUUUUGUCAGAGCCCUGAG
rnacentral:lncRNA from 1 species